CCGGCAUCGAGCGAGGCAGGUUAGCGAUGCCCCGCGAGAGGGAAUCCGGUGGGAAUCCGGAACUGUCCCGCAGCGGUAUGCAGGAACGACCGCCGUCAACAGCACUGGUCGCACGACUGGGAAGCGACGGCCAUUAGGAGCACCACCACCGGUGCGCGCCUGCGAGUCCGAAGACCUGCCAGCCGUGCCGGGCGCGC
rnacentral:ncRNA from 2 species